rnacentral:rRNA from 1 species
CCUACGGGCGGCAGCAGUGGGGGAUAUUGCACAAUGGGGGAAACCCUGAUGCAGCGACGCCGCGUGAGUGAAGAAGUAUUUCGGUAUGUAAAGCUCUAUCAGCAGGGAAGAAAAUGACAGUACCUGACUAAGAAGCCCCGGCUAACUACGUGCCAGCAGCCGCGGUAAUACGUAGGGGGCAAGCGUUAUCCGGAUUUACUGGGUGUAAAGGGAGCGUAGACGGCUAUGUAAGUCUGGAGUGAAAGCCCGGGGCCUAACCCCGGGACUGCUUUGGAAACUGUGUAGCUGGAGUACAGGAGGGGCAGGCGGAAUUCCUGGUGUAGCGGUGAAAUGCGUAGAUAUCAGGAGGAACACCAGCGGCGAAGGCGGCUUGCUGGACUGAAACUGACGUUGAGGCUCGAAAGCGUGGGGAGCAAACAGGAUUAGAUACCCGAGUAGUC